rnacentral:rRNA from 1 species
UGGGGAAUUUUGGAUAAUGGGCGCAAGCCUGAUCCAGCCAUGCCGCGUGCAGGUUGAAGGCCUUCGGGUUGUAAACUGCUUUUGUACGGAACGAAAAGACUCCUUCUAAUAAAGGGGGUCCAUGUCGGUACCGUAAGAAUAAGCACCGGCUAACUACGUGCCAGCAGCCGCGGUAAUACGUAGGGUGCGAGCGUUAAUCGGAAUUACUGGGCGUAAAGCGUGCGCAGGCGGUUAUAUAAGACAGAUGUGAAAUCCCCGGGCUCAACCUGGGACCUGCAUUUGUGACAGUAUAGCUAGAGUACGAUAGAGGGGGAUGGAAUUCCGCGUGUAGCAGUGAAAUGCGUAGAUAUGAGGGGGAACACCAAUGGCGAAGGCAAUCCCCUAGAGCUGUACUAACGCUCAUGAACAAAAAAGUGGGGAGCAAACA